UAUUCUUUCUUCUAACAAUGUGAUUUGCUGUUUGUUCGCCCUCCCCAAUGCUAUAAUUGUUUGUAUUGUUUUCAAUCUUGUUUUACAUAUCUCCAAGAAUCUCUAUCCUCUUUACUGUUGCACACUGCUGUCAAGGUUUUGAGUUAGGUUUUUUAUGUUUUCUUUUUUAAUUCUAUAGUUUGUUCUUGAUUUUUAAGCAGUGAGCUUAACUGCACAAGCUUUUGGUUCCUGUCUCAUCUCAAAUAUUCAGUUUCUGGACAUUAAACAGCUGAACAUUAUAAUUUUUUACCCUCAUUAUUAAUUGUAAUUGUUGAUUGAUGGCUUCGCUCUUGGAGAUGUCUGUAGAUGCCUGCUAUUUGAAUCGCUCUACGUAUUUGUUAUUCAAGUGGUUGAGGGAAAGAAAUGGAUAUAUGGGACAAAUCCUUCAUUAACUUCUAGCAUUAAUAGCUUUCUGUAAAUUCAACAGUUUUUUUUUUUUUUUUCUCUAAAAAAGAAGAAACUUUAAACGGGAACCAAGACUUUUCCACAUGGAUAUCAGUUCAAAUAUUAGA
rnacentral:misc_RNA from 1 species